rnacentral:rRNA from 1 species
AACGAACGCUGGCGGCAUGCCUAACACAUGCAAGUCGAACGAGACCUUCGGGUCUAGUGGCGCACGGGUGCGUAACGUGUGGGAACCUGCCCUUAGGUUCGGAAUAACUCCCCGAAAGGGGUGCUAAUACCGGAUAAUGUCUUCGGACCAAAGAUUUAUCGCCUUUGGAUGGGCCCGCGUUGGAUUAGCUAGUUGGUAGGGUAAAAGCCUACCAAGGCGACGAUCCAUAGCUGGUCUGAGAGGAUGAUCAGCCACACUGGGACUGAGACACGGCCCAGACACCUCCGGGAGGCAGCAGUGGGGAAUAUUGGACAGGGGGCGAAGGCCUAAUCCAGCAAGGCCGGGGGAGGGAAGAAGCCUUUAGGGUGGUAAACCUUUUUUCCCGGGGAUGAAAAGAAAAGUACCGGAAGAAUAAGCCCCGGCUAACCCCGUG